rnacentral:rRNA from 1 species
AGAACGAACGCUGGCGGCAUGCCUAAUACAUGCAAGUCGAACGAACACUUCGGUGUUAGUGGCGCACGGGUGCGUAACGCGUGGGAAUCUGCCCUUGGGUUCGGAAUAACAGUUGGAAACGACUGCUAAUACCGGAUGAUGACGAAAGUCCAAAGAUUUAUCGCCCAGGGAUGAGCCCGCGUAGGAUUAGCUAGUUGGUGAGGUAAAGGCUCACCAAGGCGACGAUCCUUAGCUGGUCUGAGAGGAUGAUCAGCCACACUGGGACUGAGACACGGCCCAGACUCCUACGGGAGGCAGCAGUAGGGAAUAUUGGACAAGUGGGCGCAAGCCUGAUCCAGCAAUG